AAAAUUGCGAGAAAACCCUAUCUUAGGAAAGCACCAAAAUUGAAGCCUCCCUUUCGGCCUUUCGGCCUUUCCCACUCACAUAAUCCCAUUGCUCCCACUCGCCACUCCCGUUGUUGAAGCUCCAGCACCUCGCCGCUCGCCGCUCGCUGCUAACUCUGAUUAAUAAGUUGACGAACGUCAAUUGCGGCUAACCCUAGAAAUUUCCAAUGAAUAAAAUUGAAUCUCAACCUUCGGAUAUUACGAGGGUGAAUUAAGUGUUAUCCAAGACUAGGAACAAAACAAAGCUAAAAACUCAAGUGCCCUAACCAGAAAAUCAAGUUAAUCAAUUCAGACCUUCAGAACUUGCAAGAUGUAAAUGGACGCAUUGACCUUUCUCUCCCAAACAUAUAAGUUGAUUCAGUCCAUUGUAUUUUGUGGAGAGGUUUAUCGCAUGAGGUUGCUUGGAGACUAUCAUCAUUCAACUCGCAUUGCUUUUGUGGAGUUUGUUAUGAUAUAAGGAAUUGGAUCCGCAAUAUUGAACAGCAUGCUUCAGACAAUGUGAACAAGAUUUUGGUCGGUAACAUGGCAAACAUGGAUGAGAGAAAAGGAGUGCCAAGACAAACUUGAAUGUGGAGGGGGUCUUCCUUUCAAUGGCAAGGGAUAUUAAACAGAGACUUGCAGAAUAUGACUCCAAGGCUAAGGUUCCUGGUGGGGGACUUAAGAUCAAUGCAACAGACUUAGGUGCCCCUGUCCCAGCUGCUACCAAGUCGUUUUGCUGUGGCUCUUAAGCUAAUUAGCGGAUUUUUGGUUGAGGAUUUUUGGGUGGAUGAUCCACAAAUUUGAGGCCGUAAGAUGGCACGAAAUGGAGGAAAAUAUGAGGCUUAUUUCUCGUUCUUCAAGAGCUGGUCUCCAGGUCCUUCAAGAACCAAAUUGAUUACACAAGAAGGAACGCCAAUAAUGGGGAUUCAAACUUUUUGGUGGUGGAUCUUAUAAACUAGCGCUACACGCAGCUACAUAAUUAGAAUUAUUUUUAAUUUCCUUCUGUUAUGUCUUUUUGAUUUUGUACAAAUAUUACUUCAUUUUGUAAAUUGUCAAUAGACGAUGUGACGAUAAUGUGUAUAUAUUUAUGGAUAUUUUUAAUAAAAAUGAAAUUUUAUCCUCCGUUGUA